rnacentral:sRNA from 1 species
GACAGGUGUAGGGGGCCGGUGCCCCCCGCGGGCUGCAAACCCGUCGGGUCGGCUUUUGCCGUCCGGGUGGUUCAACUCCGCCUCCUGUCU